rnacentral:tRNA from 1 species
GCGGGAAUAGCUCAGUUGGUAGAGCACGACCUUAAGGUCGGGGUCGCGAGUUCGAGUCUCGUUUCCCGCUCCA